rnacentral:rRNA from 1 species
GCCCCCUGGGAUAACACUGACGCUCAUGUACGAAAGCGUGGGUAGCAAACAGGAUUAGAUACCCUGGUAGUCCACGCCCUAAACGAUGUCAACUGGUUGUUGGGGGAGUGAAAUCCCUUAGUAACGAAGCUAACGCGUGAAGUUGACCGCCUGGGGAGUACGGUCGCAAGAUUAAAACUCAAAGGAAUUGACGGGGACCCGCACAAGCGGUGGAUGAUGUGGAUUAAUUCGAUGCAACGCGAAAAACCUUACCUACCCUUGACAUGUCCGGAAUCCUGAAGAGAUUUGGGAGUGCUCGAAAGAGAACCGGAACACAGGUGCUGCAUGGCUGUCGUCAGCUCGUGUCGUGAGAUGUUGGGUUAAGUCCCGCAACGAGCGCAACCCUUAUCAUUAGUUGCUACGCAAGGGCACUCUAAUGAGACUGCCGGUGACAAACCGGAGGAAGGUGGGGAUGACGUCAAGUCCUCAUGGCCCUUAUGGGUAGGGCUUCACACGUCAUACAAUGGUCGGUACAGAGGGUUGCCAAGCCGCGAGGUGGAGCCAAUCCCAGAAAGCCGAUCGUAGUCCGGAUUGUUCUCUGCAACUCGAGAGCAUGAAGUCGGAAUCGCUAGUAAUCGCGGAUCAGCAUGUCGCGGUGAAUACGUUCCCGGGUCUUGUACACACCGCCCGUCACACCAUGGGAGUGGAAUCUGGCAGAAGUAGGUAGCCUAACCGCAAGGGGGGCGCUUACCACGCUGGGUUUCAUGACUGGGGUGAAGUCGUAACAAGGUAACCGUA